UCCCCUCUAUUCUCUUUCCCUUCUCUCUUUUCUUUCCAUCGUCAUCGCACAAAACAAAACCCUAUAAAAGGGUGGCGGGUUGAAUCGUUUAAGGGGAGGGAUUUUGGAAUCAAAGCUUUCAGUCGCAAAAAUCCCUAAAAUACGAGUUCAAUUGACAGUUUUAAUCUUGUUUGUUAUCAAGUAAAAAUACUAAAUCAAUUCUUCGUUUGCCUUGGUGUUGUUGCGAAUCCGAGCAUCGCAAGUUCGGAUUCGAUAGUGUUCGAGUAGAUAUCGGAACCUCGCGCCUCACUUUGCUGCACCUGAAGAAGCCAUCUGUUCGCAAAAAAGAUAGAAAAAACAAGUCCUGGGCCAAAGCCCAAUAGGCAGCAACAGCAGCAGUAGCAGUCCUUCAAAAUGGGCUGAGCCCAUUUAAUUUUAUUUCAGCCUCUAUUUUUUUUUUUAUGCAUUUAAUUUGUAUUAUUUGACUAACCCUUACUGUGUUUUGUUUUCCUAACUUAGAUGAAUUCUCGUAAAAUUUAGUGGGUUAGCUUUAGUAUAAUGGGUAGAAUUUAAGAGAGAAACUCGCCAUUAGUCCCAUAAGUUUCUUUUUAUGUUGAACUAUUUAUAGCAUAUAUAAUAUUUAUUUUAUUGGAAUAA